rfam:Nocardioides sp. genes for 2-carboxybenzaldehyde dehydrogenase, trans-2'-carboxybenzalpyruvate hydratase-aldolase and 5 ORFs, complete cds.
CGGCGGGUGUGAGUCCCGUCCCGGUAGGUACCGGAGCGCCGGGUAGCAGGCCCCAGUUCGUCGGAGAGAUCUGGCGGGUCGAGCGGGGUGUCGAGAGCCUCUUUGGAGGGAGCAACCGUGCGGGCCGUAGCGUGA